UAAGACGAACCGUACGAACGUUAUUCGGAAUUACUGGGCUUAAAGGGUGCGUAGGCGGCGCGGAAAGUAGGGUGUGAAAUCCCUCGGCUCAACCGAGGAACUGCGCUCUAAACUACCGUGCUCGAGGGAGAUAGAGGUGAGCGGAACUGAGGGUGGAGCGGUGAAAUGCGUUGAUAUCCUCAGGAACACCGGUGGCGAAAGCGGCUCACUGGAUCUCUUCUGACGCUGAGGCACGAAAGCUAGGGUAGCGAACGGG
rnacentral:rRNA from 1 species